ACGGAGGAUGCAAGCGUUAUCCGGAAUUAUUGGGCGUAAAGAGUCCGUAGGUGGAAGUUCAAGUCUGCUGUUAAAGAAUGGAGCUUAACUCCAUAGAGGCGGUGGAAACUGAGCAACUAGAGUGCGGUAGGGGUAACGGGAAUUCCCAGUGUAGCGGUGAAAUGCGUAGAUAUUGGGAAGAACAUCGGUGGCGAAAGCGCGUUACUGGGCCGAAACUGACACUGAGGGACGAAAGCUAGGGUAGCGAAAGGG
rnacentral:rRNA from 1 species